UACGAAGGGGGCUAGCGUUGCUCGGAAUCACUGGGCGUAAAGGGUGCGUAGGCGGGUCUUUAAGUCAGGGGUGAAAUCCUGGAGCUCAACUCCAGAACUGCCUUUGAUACUGAAGAUCUUGAGUUCGGGAGAGGUGAGUGGAACUGCGAGUGUAGAGGUGAAAUUCGUAGAUAUUCGCAAGAACACCAGUGGCGGAAGGCGGCUCACUGGCCCGAUAACGUGACGCUGAGGCACGGAAAGCCGUGGGGAGCAACAGG
rnacentral:rRNA from 1 species